UACAGAGGUGCUCAAGCGUUGUUUCGGAUUCAUUGGGCGUAAAGGGUGCGUAGGCGGCGCGGUAAGUCGGAUCGUGAAAUCUCGGAGCUUAACUUCGAACUGCAUUCGAUACUGCCGUGCUUGAGGACUGGAGAGGAGACUGGAAAUUUACGGUGUAGCGGUGAAAUGCGUAGAUAUCGAUGAAGGAAGACCAGUGGCGAAGGCGGGUCUCUGGACAGUUCCAUGACGCUGGAGGCAACGAAGGUCCAGGGAGCAAACGGG
rnacentral:rRNA from 1 species